AUGAAAAGCAAUACAUGGGGAUAUUUUCUGGAGUCUCCUAUCUACUCAUUGUUUCUCUCAUGCCUAUCCCCAGAAAUAGGUGUUGUCAAGUACAACCAACUCGCCAAUAGUUCCAAAACUUACAUCCCAUACUGGGCCCGAAAGGCCUCCUGCACCGCACGGGAUCUACCAUCUACGACGCCCCAUGGCGGCGACGGCGCGGCUGCUGCUCCGCUCGCUGACGCUGAGGCGGCCUCCUCUCGUCUCCUCCUCUCCGGGCGCCCACCCCGCCGCCGAUCUCCUCCACCGCUGGCCCACGCUGGUACUGUUUCUUUCUCGCAAGCGGUUUAUGUGGCAGAUAUAGCAUUGAAAAGGAAGCUUACUAUGUGGGGAGCUAAGGACAACGACCUGAUCAGCAAAGGGCAAAUCUGGCGCCUGGCUACACCAGUUCUUCUUCAUGGACGUCUUCGUCACAUUGCUUUAAAUACUCUCUCUUUGGCUAGCAUUGGGCCUAUGGUGGAAGAGUUUGCUGGCCCUAGAAGAUUUCUAGCAAUUUAUUGCACUUCGGCACUCACAUGUUCACUAAUGAGUUACUGGUUUACCUCCACACCUGGUAUAGGUGCAUCUGGUGCUAUCUUUGGAUUGGCUGGUGCGUAUGUUGUUUAUAUAUGGAGGCACCAAGAGCUUUUACAAAACGGAAAGGAAGUUUUAGAGAGUAUUAAAAUUGUGGUUUUAUUAAAUCUGGGCAUCGGCAUCCUUCUUAGGCACCGCAUCGACAACUGGGCACAUGUAUGUCUCCCCUACAGUUUUGCAUCGGGUUCCUUGGAAGGGUUCCUUGGGGGAGCAGCAGUCGAAUGGUUCUGCGGUCCUGAUUGGAAACGGCGGCCUUUGUUCGGCCAAUGA
rnacentral:rRNA from 1 species